AGAGUUUGAUCAUGGCUCAGAUUGAACGCUGGCGGCAGGCUUAACACAUGCAAGUCGAGCGGUAACAGAAAUAGCUUGCUAUUUGCUGACGAGCGGCGGACGGGUGAGUAAUGCUUGGGAAUAUGCCUUAUGGUGGGGGACAACAGUUGGACACGACUGCUAAUACCGCAUAACGUCUACGGACCAAAGGGGGGGAUCUUCGGACCUCUCGCCAUUUGAUUAGCCCAAGUGAGAUUAGCUAGUUGGUAAGGUAAUGGCUUACCAAGGCGACGAUCUCUAGCUGGUUUGAGAGGAUGAUCAGCCACACUGGGACUGAGACACGGCCCAGACUCCUACGGGAGGCAGCAGUGGGGAAUAUUGCACAAUGGGGGGAACCCUGAUGCAGCCAUGCCGCGUGUGUGAAGAAGGCCUUCGGGUUGUAAAGCACUUUCAGUUGUGAGGAAAGGUGUGUAGUUAAUAGCUACAUACUGUGACGUUAGCAACAGAAGAAGCACCGGCUAACUUCGUGCCAGCAGCCGCGGUAAUACGAGGGGUGCAAGCGUUAAUCGGAAUUACUGGG
rnacentral:rRNA from 1 species